rnacentral:rRNA from 1 species
ACGGGGUGCAGCAGGCGCGAAAACUUUACAAUGCGGGAAACCGUGAUAAGGGGACACCGAGUGCCAGCAACAUUUGUUGGCUGUCCGGGUGUGUAAACUACACCCGUUAGCAAGGGCCGGGCAAGACCGGUGCCAGCCGCCGCGGUAACACCGGCGGCCCGAGUGGUGAUCGUGAUUAUUGGGUCUAAAGGGUCCGUAGCCGGUUUGGUCAGUCCUCCGGGAAAUCUGACGGCUUAACCGUUAGGCUUUCGGGGGAUACUGCCAGGCUUGGAACCGGGAGAGGUAAGAGGUACUACAGGGGUAGGAGUGAAAUCUUGUAAUCCCUGUGGGACCACCUGUGGCGAAGGCGUCUUACCAGAACGGGUUCGACGGUGAGGGACGAAAGCUGGGGGCACGAACCGGAUUAGAUACCCGUGUAGUCC